rnacentral:tRNA from 1 species
CGUCGCCCGGUGCGGUGGCGAGGACCGUGCCCUCCCGCGUCACGGCGACGUGCGCGCCGGACCCGAGUUCGACGAUCGGGUCGGUGCCC